rnacentral:snoRNA from 1 species
GUGUGAUAUGAUGCCAUACCAUCUUUCGGGACUGACUCUUGAACUGGAGAGUUCUUGUAUGUUACUGAUCACUU